rnacentral:rRNA from 1 species
GCUUAAAAGACCUUCGGGUUGUAUUUAUUAGUUUUGUACCAAUCUUAGAUUGUGAGGAGUCAUAAUAAACUGAUCGAAGCGCACUUGUGUGCGCUAAAUCUUUCAAGUAUCUGCCCUAUCAGAUUGUUGGUAGUGUAUUGGACUACCAAGUCGAUCACGGGUAACGGAGAAUUAGGGUUCGAUUCCGGAGAGGGAGCCUGAGAAACGGCUACCACAGCUACGGUAGGCAGCAGGUGCGUAAAAUUACCCAAUCCAAAAUCUGGAAGGUAGUUACAGGAAAUUUGUUGCAUGGGGUUCUACCCCAGACACAAACGAACACAUGUAAGUAUUGUGUGUUUAAUUGGAGGGGCAAGUUUUGGUGCCAGCAGCCGCGGUAAUUCCAACUCCAAGAGUGUAUCUUAAUGUUGCUGCAGUUAAAAAGCUCGUAGUUGAACUUCUGGCUAGUGGAGGUCCCCCGGGAUCAUUCGCUAGUCAUCCGCUCGGAGAAGCAGUAUUUCCUUUACUGGUUUUACUGUAGACCCAGCAUUUUACUUGAAG